rnacentral:lncRNA from 1 species
AAACAUCGCUCUUUAUGACUCCAGAGUUAUCAUCCUGCUGCUAUCCCCUGUCGGCAUUUCUGUCUUCUUUUCUGAGCUCAGGAAGCUGACCUCUGCAGAUUGCAUCAAGUGGGUCUGAGACCCCUUUCCUUUGGCUUUCUUGCGGUUUCAGCCAAUGACAACCACUGUAGCAGAGCAGAGGGGGACUCAUUCUGCUGAAAGCCACAGCUCCUAUCCGGUGGUCUUAGAGCUUGGUAGGUCCUGUAACUACCUGCAUCCUUGCUUGUAGGUUUAAGGGUGGCAGUCACUUCCCUUUUGCUAGCCCCAGAGGGGCUUUACAGAGUCUUGGUUUCCUUGCCCUUACUUUCAUAUAACCUCCUUUUAUUUAAAAAAACUGUUUAAUUAUCACAUUUGAGUGUCUUCUUUUUCUGGCACAUGCAGCUAUGUAGAUUAAAGGGGUAACUGUACUUUAAAAAAAAUCAAUAAAUCAGACUUUUCAUUACUUCGUCUGGUCUCUUCCUUAUCCCUUUGGUCCAAAUGUAU